rnacentral:rRNA from 1 species
GACGAACGCUGGCGGCGUGCCUAAUACAUGCAAGUUGAGCGCAGGAAACUGACGGAACUCUUCGGAGGGAAGGCAGUGGAAUGAGCGGCGGACGGGUGAGUAACACGUAAGGAACCUGCCUCAAGGAUUGGGAUAACUCCGAGAAAUCGGAGCUAAUACCGGAUAGUUCAACGGACCGCAUGGUCCGCUGAUGAAAGGCGCUCCGGCGUCACCUUGAGAUGGCCUUGCGGUGCAUUAGCUAGUUGGGGGGGUAAUGGCCCACCAAGGCGACGAUGCAUGGCCGACCUGAGAGGGUGAUCGGCCACACUGGGACUGAGACACGGCCCAGACUCCUACGGGAGGCAGCAGUAGGGAAUCUUCCACAAUGGACGAAAGUCUGAUGGAGCAACGCCGCGUGAGUGAUGAAGGUUUUCGGAUCGUAAAACUCUGUUGUAAGGGAAGAACACGUACGAGAGGGAAUGCUCGUACCUUGACGGUACCUUACGAGAAAGCCACGGCUAACUACGUGCCAGCAGCCGCAGUAACAC